AUUGAACGCUGGCGGCAUGCCUUACACAUACAAGUCGAACGGUAACAGGUCUUCGGAUGCUGACAAGUGGCGAACGGGUGAGUAAUACAUCGGAACGUGCCUAGUAGUGGGGGAUAACUACUCGAAAGAGUGGCUAAUACCGCAUGAGAUCUACGGAUGAAAGCAGGGGAUCGCAAGACCUUGUGCUACUAGAGCGGCCGAUGGCAGCUUAGGUAGUUGGUGGGAUAAAAGCUUACCAAGCCGACGAUCUGUAGCUGGUCUGAGAGGACGAUCAGCCACACUGGGACUGGGAAAAGGCCCAGGAUCCUACGGGAGGCAGCAGUGGGGAAUUUUGGACAAUGGGCGAAAGCCUGAUCCAGCAAUGCCGCGUGCAGGAUGAAGGCCUUCGGGUUGUAAACUGCUUUUGUACGGAACGAAAAGCCCCGGGUUAAUACCCUGGGGUCAUGACGGUACCGUAAGAAUAAGCACCGGCUAACUACGUGCCAGCCGCCGCAGUAA
rnacentral:rRNA from 1 species